rnacentral:ncRNA from 1 species
AAGAUCCUAUGACACUUUAACUGGUCUAAAGAGACCCAACACGGUCAACAGGGUUGACAAAUAGCCCCAUGGGCCAACAAUUAGAUUGGGGUGACCUUGGGGAAUAAAACAACUUCUGAGUGAUUAAGACUUACCAGUCAAAAGUAUUACAUCACUUACUGAUCCGAAAACUCGAUCAACAGAGUAAGUUACCCUAGGGAUAACCGUGCAAUCUUACUUUAGAGUCCAUAGCAACAGUGGGGCUUAGGACCUCCAUGUUGGAUUAGGACAUCUCGCUGGUGCAGCAGGUACCACAGUUCCUUGGUUCGAUGAUUGACGUCCUGUGUGACCGGAGUUCAGACAUGAGCAAUCUGGAUCGGUU